rnacentral:ncRNA from 1 species
GGCACGCCUAGCCCGACGGGGCGAACACCGGCAAACCUUCACCGGCUGGCGUGCGGAUUUACUGAGGG